rnacentral:rRNA from 1 species
CGCAGGCGGGAAGACAAGUUGGAAGUGAAAACCAUGGGCUCAACCCAUGAAUUGCUUUCAAAACUGUUUUUCUUGAGUAGUGCAGAGGUAGAUGGAAUUCCCGGUGUAGCGGUGGAAUGCGUAGAUAUCGGGAGGAACACCAGUGGCGAAGGCGGCUCUCUGGUCUGUAACUGACGCUGAGGCUCGAAAGCGUGGGGAGCAAACA